CUGAGCCAACACGUGAAGGAUAGCUACUCGGAAAUUUGCCUGGACCCAUACUGGAUUUUAUGUGAGUUGAAUUAGUAAUUGUGGUCCUUGGCAUUUGAAUUCAGGAAGCUGAUGGAUCAGAAAGAGGAUAAACAACGGAGAGAGGUAUUUCCAAGAUAAACACCUUUCUUACUGCAAGCAUCGUAUCUUCCUUCCUUCCAAACUUGAUUUAGUGCAUAUCUUUC